rnacentral:lncRNA from 1 species
AGGAUAUAACAAAUUCGAAGGAAAGAAAAAUUCAUUCAUAGCAUCGCAUAGGUUUGGAUGCACUUGCAUCUUGAUGCCCCUAGCACUGAAUUCCAGUGUGUUAGUUGAUUUAAGGCACGAGAGGACCGCUUCCUCUAUAAACUAACAGAGACUUAUCCCAGAUACGAUCGGUUCAGGAUCAUGGGAAAUGCGUUGUACUCUU